rnacentral:snRNA from 1 species
AACGCAGGUGUCCUAAGAU